GUGAACGCUGGCGGUAGGCCUAACACAUGCAAGUCGAACGGCAGCACAGUAAGAGCUUGCUCUUACGGGUGGCGAGUGGCGGACGGGUGAGGAAUACAUCGGAAUCUACUUUUUCGUGGGGGAUAACGUAGGGAAACUUACGCUAAUACCGCAUACGACCUACGGGCGAAAGCAGGGGAUCUUCGGACCUUGCGCGAUUGAAUGAGCCGAUUUCGGAUUAGCUAGUUGGCGGGGUAAAGGCCCACCAAGGCGACGAUCCGUAGCUGGUCUGAGAGGAUGAUCAGCCACACUGGAACUGAGACACGGUCCAGACUCCUACGGGAGGCAGCAGUGGGGAAUAUUGGACAAUGGGCGCAAGCCUGAUCCAGCCAUACCGCGUGGGUGAAGAAGGCCUUCGGGUUGUAAAGCCCUUUUGUUGGGAAAGAAAAGCAGCAGGUUAAUACCCCGCUGUUCUGACGGUACCCAAAGAAUAAGCACCGGCUAACUUCGUG
rnacentral:rRNA from 1 species